rnacentral:rRNA from 1 species
AACUCCGGAUCUGCGGUGGGUACGGGCAGACUUGAGUGAUGUAGGGGAGACUGGAAUUCCUGGUGUAGCGGUGAAAUGCGCAGAUAUCAGGAGGAACACCGAUGGCGAAGGCAGGUCUCUGGGCAUUAACUGACGCUCAGGAGCGAAAGCAUGGGGAGCGAACAGGAUUAGAUACCCUGGUAGUCCAUGCCGUAAACGUUGGGCACUAGGUGUGGGGGACAUUCCACGUUUUCCGCGCCGUAGCUAACGCAUUAAGUGCCCCGCCUGGGGAGUACGGCCGCAAGGCUAAAACUCAAAGGAAUUGACGGGGGCCCGCACAAGCGGCGGAGCAUGCGGAUUAAUUCGAUGCAACGCGAAGAACCUUACCAAGGCUUGACAUGAACCGGAACGGCGCAGAGAUGUGUCGGCCACUUGUGGCCGGUUUACAGGUGGUGCAUGGUUGUCGUCAGCUCGUGUCGUGAGAUGUUGGGUUAAGUCCCGCAACGAGCGCAACCCUCGUUCCAUGUUGCCAGCGGGUUAUGCCGGGGACUCAUGGGAGACUGCCGGGGUCAACUCGGAGGAAGGUGGGGACGACGUCAAAUCAUCAUGCCCCUUAUGU